ACAUUGAAGGUUCAGUGGUAGAAUUCUCACCUCCCAUGCAAGAGACCCAGUUCGAUUCCUGGCCAAUGUA
rnacentral:tRNA from 1 species